GACGAACGCUGGCGGCGUGCUUAACACAUGCAAGUCGAACGGAAAGGCCUGCUUUCCCUUGUGGAUUGCGGGUACUCGAGUGGCGAACGGGUGAGUAACACGUGAGUGAUCUGCCCCCAACUUGGGUAUAAGCCUGGGAAACUGGGUCUAAUUCCCGAUAGGACUGCAGGGUGGUGCCUGUGGUGGAAAACGAUUUUCUAGUGGUUGGGGAUGAGCUCGCGGCCUAUCAGCUUGUUGGUGGGGUAAUGGCCUACCAAGGCGGCGACGGGUAGCCGGCCUGGGAGGGUGGACGGCCACAUUGGGACUGGGAUACGGCCCAGACGCCUACGGGAGGCAGCAGUGGGGAAUAUUGCACAAUGGGCGGAAGCCUGAUGCAGCGACGCCGCGUGGGGGAUGUCGGCCUUCGGGUUGUAAACUCCUUUCGACCGCGAGGAAGCCACCUGGUUGGAAGGGUGGUGACGGUAGUGGUAGAAGAAGCACCGGCUAACUACGUG
rnacentral:rRNA from 1 species